UGUUAAAAAUUUUAUCUAUUUUUACCAUUAAAAACUGACAUAAUUAAUGGAAUAACUAGAAACGUGUACAUCAUGUUGAUUUAUAAGGGCCAGUCCUUAACAGUAAAAACUGAUAAUUUUUUUAACA
rfam:Gossypium raimondii Chr10_contig_1442, whole genome shotgun sequence.